rnacentral:tRNA from 1 species
GGGCCUGUAGCUCAGUUGGUUAGAGCAGGGGACUCAUAAUCCCUUGGUCGUAGGUUCAAGUCCUACCGGGCCCA